AGCCCACUAGCUAGCUCGCACACCAAAAUGCAACAACUCAUUAUUCAUAACCCCUAAUUAAACCUCACAUACACAAGACCAAACCAUUUUUCCCCCCUAGUAUGGGCGACAGAAAAGGAAAUGUCGAAGCAACAGAAACAGUACCGCAAGGGAACGCUGAAAGAGAAAUGAAACAAAUCAGUUAAGCGAAAAAAAGCAGAGUUUAAACCUCGUACCUUUUGCAUCAUGAUUUAGCAAGUAAACAUCAAGCAAAGAGCACUUUAGUUUGACACCCCGAAACCAAGUGAGCUACUCCAAGACAGCCUCUAAGGGCGCACCCGUCUCUGUGGCAAAAGAGUGGGAAGAUCUUUGAGUAGAGGUGACAGACCUACCGAACUUGGUUAUAGCUGGUUGCUCAGGAAAUGAAUAGGAGUUCAGCCUUUUGCCCUCUUUCCACACUGCCGAUUACACCUAAAGCACUUAAGUAGGACAAAAGAGUUAGUCAAAGGGGGUACAGCCCCUUUGAAAAAGACACAACUUUACCAGAAGGGUUAAGAUCACAACACUUACCAAGGGAAUGUGUUCUAGUUGGCCUAAGAGCAGCCACCCAUGCAGAAAGCGUUAAAGCUCAAACACCUCCCCACCCCUAUUAUCCCGACCACAUAAUCUUACCCCCCUAAACAUACUGAGCCUUCCCAUACCCCUAUGGAAGAGAUUAUGCUAAUAUGAGUAAUAAGAGACCUCGCAUCUCUCCCUGCACAAGUAUAUAUCGGAACGAACUAACACCGAAAAUUAACGGCCCCAAAAAAGAGGGAACUGAAAUAUUAUGGCCAGGCCACUAGAAGACCAUCCACCCCCACCAAACCGUUGACCUUACACCAGAGUGCACACAGGGAAAGACUAAAAGAAAAAGAAGGAACUCGGCAAACACUUCUAGCCUCGCCUGUUUACCAAAAACAUCGCCUCUUGCAAUCUAAGAAUAAGAGGUCCCGCCUGCCCAGUGACUAUUGUUUAACGGCCGCGGUACUCUGACCGUGCGAAGGUAGCGCAAUCACUUGUCUCUUAAAUGGAGACCUGUAUGAAUGGCACGACGAGGGCUAAGCUGUCUCCUUUUUCAAGUCAAUGAAAUUGAUCUCCCCGUGCAGAAGCGGGGAUACCCACAUAAGACGAGAAGACCCUAUGGAGCUUAAGACACUAAAGCAGACCAUGUUAAGGAAUCCCCUAUAAGGGCCUGAACCUAGUGACUACUGCCCGACUGUCUUUGGUUGGGGCGACCACGGAGAAAAAAUAAACCCCCGUGUGGAACAGGGAUAGCCCCCCUUAAACCCAGAGUGACAGCUCUAAUAAACAGAAUUUCUGACCAAAUAUGAUCCGGCAAAGCCGAUCAACGGACCGAGUUACCCUAGGGAUAACAGCGCAAUCCCCUUCUAGAGCCCAUAUCGACAAGGGGGUUUACGACCUCGAUGUUGGAUCAGGACAUCCUAUUGGCGCAGCCGCUAUUAAGGGUUCGUUUGUUCAACGAUUAAAGUCCUACGUGAUCUGAGUUCAGACCGGAGUAAUCCAGGUCAGUUUCUAUCUAUGACAUGUUUUUUUCUAGUACGAAAGGACCGAAAAAAAGAGGUCCAUGCUAAAAGUACACCUCCCCCUCACCUAAUGACAUCAACUAAAAUAGGUAAGAGAGCAUAACCCUUUGUCUUAGAGAAAGACU
rnacentral:rRNA from 1 species